rnacentral:lncRNA from 1 species
GCGUCUCACCUCCAUGGGGCGCCCCCCAGCCUCUCCUGGACUAGGCACAGCUCCUGGGGCACCGGCCCGAUGAUUUGCUGAUAGGGCAGCGGAGAGGCCGGUCGUGGAAGGUUGAAAGAGCUAAAGAGCGCAGCCCUACCGGGUGGGAGAGGUGUUGGAGGCACUUGGAAGAUUUGAGAAGUCGCUCAGCAACUGGCUUAUCCUCCAAAACCUAGCUGUUGCGCACAUUUCAUUUGUCCGACAUUUCAUAUUUGUUCCUUAGUCCCUCCCGUAGCUUCAGAAUCCGUUGGAGCUGCCCAGAGACUGAUAUAUCUUGUACCGGUUUGGGGAGGGCGAGGAGCAACUUGUGGAUUGGGUGUUGCUGGGAGACCCCUUUUUGAGGGAGAGCUGCCCUGUGUCCUAAGCCCGGGCUUUCAGUCCGGGUUAAGGCAUUUAAGUGUUAAUGUGACUUUUGAACAAAGUUCGCUGUGACCUUUUUGUUCGUUUUUGUUUGUCUGUGUAAAACAGGGUCUUGCUCUGUCGCCCAGGCUGGAGUGCAGUGGCGCUAUCAUAGCUCGUUGCAGCCUUGAACUCCCGGGUUCAAGCGACCCUCCCGCCUCAGCCUCCCGAGUAGCUGGGGCUGCAGGCACGCGGCGCCACCACUCCUGGCUAAUUUUUUAAUUUUUUUGUAAAGCUGAAGGGCGGGGGGGUUGGGUCUCCUUAUGUUGCCCAGGCUGGUCUCAAACUCCUGGUCUCGAGCGAUCCUCCCGCCUCAGCCUCCCGAGUAGUUGGGGCUACAGGCGCGUGCCACCACUCCCAGCUAAUUUUUUUUUUUUUUUUUUUUUUGGUGAGAUGGAGUCUCACUGUCGCCAGGCUAGAGUGCGGUGGCGCAAAGGCUCACUGCAACCUCCGCCUCCCGGGUUCAAGCGAUUCUCCCGCCUCAGCCUCCCGAGUAGCUAGGACUACAGGCCCACGCCACCACGCCCCGCUAAUUUUUGUAUUUUUAGUAGAGACGGGAAUUUCACCAUGUUGUCCAGGAUGGUCUCGAUCUCUUGACCUCGUGAUCCGCCCGCCUCGGCCUCCCAAAAUUCUGGGAUUACAGGCGUGAGCCACGGCGCCUGGCCCUAGCUAAUUUUUUAAUUUUUUUGUAGAGCUGGGGUUGGAGGUGGGGAUGGGGGUAGGGGGUUGGAUCUCCUUAUGUUGCUCAGGCUGGUCUUGAACUGAACUCUUGGCCUGAAGUGAUCCUCCGCCUCGGCCUCCCAAAGUGUGGGAUUACAGAUGGAGUCUCUCUCUGUCACCCAGGCUGGAGUGCAGUGGCGCAAUCUUAGCCCACCGCAACCUCUGCCUCCCGGGUUCAAGCAAUUCUCCUGCCUCAGCCUUCCGAGUAGCUGGGAUUACAGGGUCUUGCUCUGUCACCUAGGCUGGAGUGCAGUGGUGUGAUCACAGCUCACUGGAGCCUCGACCUCCUGGGAUCAAGCGAUUCUCUCACCUCAACCUUUGAACUUCUAGAUAAGUGGUUCUCAAAGUGUGGUCCUUCAACCAACAGCAUCAUCACCACCCAGGAACUUAUUAGAAAUGGAAGUUCUUGCACCCUGCCAAAACCAGAAACUGCGGAUGGGUCCCAGCAAUCUUUAUUUUAACGACUGUUAAAAUCAGAAUCAAGUGAUUCUGAUGCAAACUUAAGUUUGAAAACAUUGUUCUAUUAAAAGUAAUGGCAAAAACCGCAAUUACUUUUGCACCAACCUAAGAGCUCUGCACUGUUCAAUAUGGUAGCUUCUAACUAUUGAAUUUUUUAAUGCUAUUAUCUCCUUUAUUCAAAAAUAAAUAUUUCACUUUGAUUCAACAUAUUUCAAAUUACAUUAAGCACAGAGAGGAAAUACAUUCCCUUUGGAGAUUGUGAACACGUGUUGGAAAGAGGCAUGAUCCAAAUAAUGGGGAUGAGAGCUGCACAGGAACUGGUGGAUCUAGCAAAAGAGAAC